rnacentral:rRNA from 1 species
AUGCUACAAACCAUACUAGAAUGGGGCAGAGAAGUGGAAAUUGAAAUCAAAGAAGACGAAGAAAUUCACAAGUCUGAUCCAUAUGAUUUUGUCUACAGUAACAUACCAAAAAACACACAUGUGCUCAAACCAGAAGAGAAUUGCAGAUUAUGUCAUGCAAAAAAAUUCAAGUAUGAAACUAAGGGGUUAUGCUGCAGAAAAGGACAGAUAAGACUGGCCAAUCCAGAUACAACACCUGAACUCAUGAGACUUUGGACAAGCAACGACUCUGAUGCAAGACAUUUUCGGCAAAAUAUAAGAUUUUUCAAUGGACACUUCUCAUUUACUACUCUAUAUUGUCACCUUGACAGAGACACAACUGACAUGCGAACAGCUGGUAUUUACACCUUUCGAGCUCAUGGUCAGAUCUAUCACAACAUACAUUCAUUUGGUAAUAGUCACUCAGAUCCAAAGCAUUUGGUGCUAUACUUCUACGACGAUGAUCCAAGCUUAGAGCAUCGAUAUCGUCGUUGCCGCGAGGAAAUGUAUGAGCAAGACAAGCAUGUGAUUGGAAUAAUAACCACAUCCUACACGGUAACCCGUACUCUCAACAGUUUAGGAGUUUGGGACAAGCCCAAAACCUUGAGGACUACAGAGUCAUCUUGA